rnacentral:tRNA from 1 species
GGAUUGUGGCUCAGCGGUGGAGCGCUUGCCUGGCACAGGGGGACCUGGGUUCGAUCCUCAGCACCA